GGUUCGGUGGUGGAUGGUCCACAUCUGUCUUUGUUGGCUAUUGCUUGCUUCACUGAGCAGAAGAAGCCUGUUCGAUUCAGGCCCGAGCCA